rnacentral:rRNA from 1 species
GUGAGUGUGAUCUCGGCUCAGAGAAAGCGCGGGGGGCACGCAUAACACACACAAGUAGAGAAGGCUUCGGCCUUAGUGGCGCACGGGUGMGUAACGCGUGGGAAUCUGCCCUUUGGUUCGGAAUAACAGCUGGAAACGGGUGCUAAUACCGGAUGAUGACGAAAGUCCAAAGAUUUAUCGCCGGAGGAUGAGCCCGCGUUGGAUUAGGUAGUUGGUGGGGUAAAGGCCUACCAAGGCCACAAUCCAUAUCGGGUCUGA